GGGUCAGUCCAAUGAGGAGAGUCCGUGGUUAGUGAUGUACACUGAUGGGAAUGAAUCCAGUAAAAAGACUGAAGAAGUAACCAGCAUGAGUAAUAUGGGAUCUGUGGAAGAGUCCACGCCAGCUUCGGAAUACCUGACUUAAAAUGAACUUUUGUAAAUGGACCUGUUGCAUGGGACUGUCUUAUCCCACAUUCUUGGAGACUCAGCAGUGACUUCUGGGUGAACCAUCUCUUCUUUUGGUAAAUUUACAAUGAAGGAAAGUAGCAUCCAAGCUAAAUGAACCAUAAGAUGUAUUUUGCAAUUUUUUGUUUUUGUGACACUUGCACGUUCUGAAUAAGUAACACAUCAAAAAUUCUACCUAAUAUGCUCAUAACUCACUUUCGAAUAUUCCUCUAAAAAGUAUCCAUCUUUAUGCAAAAUUACAGAAUUUUGAGAUAUGUUAAUGUUCCUCCAGGGAUAGGUUAUAAUAUUGGAUUUCAGGAUAAGGGAAAACUAUAAAAUCCUUAUACCAGUUUUACUUCUGAUAGCUGUACUUUUCUAUAUGAUAUAACGUGAACAGCCAAGGUAAAUUUUCUUAGUUGAUAGUUAAAUUUAUCUCCAAAUGCUGUGGACAUUGUACUUUUCUCACUUUCCUCAAAUAAACUAUGAGGUUUUUU